rnacentral:rRNA from 1 species
AUUGAACGCUGGCGGCAGGCCUAACACAUGCAAGUCGAACGAGUGGCGGACGGGUGAGUAAUGUCUGGGAAACUGCCUGAUGGAGGGGGAUAACUACUGGAAAAGGUAGCUAAUACCGCAUACCAUCGGAUGUGCCAAGAUGGGAUUAGCUAGUAGGUGGGGUAAAGGUUCACCUAGGAGAAGAUCCCUAGCUGGUCUGAGAGGAUGACCAGCCAGACUGGAAAUUAGACACGGUCCAGACUCCUGCGGUAGGCAGCAGUGUGGAAUAUUGCACAAGGGGCGCAAGCCUGAUGCAGCCAUGCCGCGUGUAUGAAGAAGGCCUUCGGGUUGUAAAGUACUUUCAGCGGGGAGGCGUUACCCGCAGAAGAAGCACCGGCUAACUCCGUGCCAGCAGCCGCGGUAAUUC